UGCGCAUUGACCUACAAAUGCAGACAGACGCAUCGAACUCUAGUUUUAAUCCAAACAUGCGAAAAUUCGUGUUUUUAUGAUUUGACAUGUAAAGUCGUUUUUAAUUUGGACCAAAGCUCUAGUAUCUGAAAACAAAGAAUGACAAACCUCCAUUUCAUCACCCAUGCAGUCAUGCUGUCUGUCAUGGCUGUAGUGGUCAAGAAAUAUAUGGACCUGAGGUCACACGUGGAAGACCUACAAAUGGACUGCUACCCCCACCCCUUCCUCUCCCAACCUCCGAGCAAACCUCCUCCCCACUUCCCCUACCCAGGGGACAAUGUGGGGGUUAAUGACAAAGUCAAAGAUUUUAACUACAUUGCAACAAGUCAGUCUGAUUUUCAGGAAUCUGACAGUAACCAGGAUAUUGACAAUUUGGGGGCAACAAAGUAUGAUGGUAAAGGGGCGUCUUCACAACAAAAUAAAUUUUCAGGAACAGACUUUAGUAGUCAUUCAGACCAGAAUUUUGGAACAGACUUUAUUCAAAGUAGCCAGGCAAGUUACAGUAGUGAAGCUCAGAGUGGAAGAUAUUUUGAAGAAUAUGAAAAAACCAAAGCUGCGGGUGCAGAAUCUUCAAGUGUAUUAACUUUGAGCAGUAAAUCUCUAACUGAAGGAGCCACCAUCAGCACGACCUCACAGACAGAUAUUGAUGGAAGUGAACAUGUAGCAGUAACUGGCAAAGCACAUGAAAGCAAGAAAUCAAAGGAAGAGGCUGAUACAUCACAUAUAGAAACCUCAGUUUGGUGCCAUGGCAAUUCGGAGAUGAACAAAAUAUGUCAUUUCCAGAACCUAUGUUACAGUCCUUUGAAUGAGGCGUUUCUGUUUUACCACAGUGAUAGGAGUGUGUUGGAUAGGUCACAGCUCGGUAAUGAUAGCAAGCCGAUGCUACGUCUCUCUACUGUGUACGAAUAUAAUGGUUAUACUCCAAACCUGAUAGAUUUAAAGUCUUCAGCGUUUGAUCAUUCUAGGGUAAAGUGGGUCAAAGGGCAAAGUGUGAUCUUCAGCAGGUUCAAACCUGACAAUAUCAUGCAUGUUCUACACGAUGACAUCUUCCCGUUACACUUCACGCUGAAUUUUAUUACCGGACAAAACUCUCUGGAUCAGUAUGAUGUCCAGAUAGUCUUUAUGGAAGGAUGGGAUCGUGGGGACUUUGCCGACUUGUAUUCUAGUUUCACUACCAAAUCUCCCAUUUAUAUUAACGAUUUAAGUGAGGAACAGUUGGUCUGUUUUGAGGAUGCUUAUGCGGGAUUAUCAACUGCACCCGUGUGGUAUCAAUAUGGCUACAUCCAGUCGCAGGCACCUGUGAAAGACACAGAAGCAUCUGGAUUUCUUAUACACAACACAGUAAAUUUUAUUGUUAAUCAACUCGAUAUGCAAAAGCCUCCUAACAUGAUGCUGACACCUGGUGAUUAUUUUGUUUUAUUCUCCAGAAAAGACAAUCGACGCAUUGUCAAUGAAAUGGAACUGAUGCUCUCAGUUUCAGCAGAGACAAAUUUGAAAGUGUUCACGCUUAGUUUGGAAACCCAUAGUUUAAAAGACAUCAUGCACUAUGUAAGAUUUUCCCGAGGUAUAGUUGGUAUGCAUGGAUCAUUGAUGUCACUGGCUGCCUUUCUCAGGCCUGGAGCGUUUGUUAUUGAGUUGUUCCCAUAUGCAGUCUCUCCCAAAAAGUAUCCCCCCUUCAGGACUCUAGCUGAGCUACCAGGGAUGAAUCUAGUCUACACAGCUUGGCAGAACCUGGACAAAACAAAAUCUAUAGGCCAUCCUGACUGGCCGGCAGACAUAGGGGGAAUCGGUCAUCUACCGCCACAGGACCAGGCAGCUAUAAUGGCUGAGACUGAAGUGCAGGAUCAUCUAUGUUGUAGUGAUCCUUCUUGGUUGUACCACAUAUACCAGGACACAGAGGUAGAUAUUCCUGCCAUCACCAGACUUAUCAAAGCAGCCAUGAACAAACCGUACACAAGUGACCACCAACAAAUGUUCCCAGCCAAAGUUUCAAAGGUUCGGUGUGAUAAACUCAACCCCAAUACUAAUGUCACAGACAAAAAUGUUAAACAAUUGGGUAAUGUGAAAAAAGGAUUGGUAGUGUUAAAAAUACAGUGGGCAUCACCCCAGAAUUUAGACAAUUUAGAUUUUAGAAGUUUACAUUAUGAGGUGAGAGUAGUACAAGAAGGUGUAGAUGACAUAUUAUUCAUAGUCACUGACACAUCUCUGCUGGUGUCUGUGUCUAGCACAGGGCCCACAGUGAAGGUUUGGGUGAAGGCUGUCAUAAACAAUAAGACUGGGGGACUGCAUGGCCAUACACUCUGUUUACUAACAGAGCACCAAGGCCCAAAGUGAAGGUUUGGGUGAAGGCUGUCACAGUCAGUAAGACUGGGGGACAACACAGCUACAUAAGGGGUUUGGGUGAAGGUUUUCACAGGCAGUAAGACUGGGGAACUGCAUGGCCAUACACUCUGUUUACUAACAGAGCACCAAGGCCCAAAGUGAAGGUUUGGGUGAAGGCUGUCAUAGACAGUAUGACUGGGGGACAACACAGCUACAUGAGGGGUUUGGGUGAAUGCUUUCAUAGACAGUAAGACUGGGGGACUACACAGCCACAUGACAGUUUGGGUGAAUGCUUUCAUAGACAGUAAGACUGGGGACUACACAGCCACAUGAGGGUUUAGAUGAAGGUUUUCAUAGACAGUAAGACUGGGGACUACACAGCCACAUGACAGUUUGGUUGAAGGCUUUCAUAGACAGUAAGACUUGGGGACUACACAGCCACAUGAGGGUUUUGGUGAAGGCUUUCACAGACAGUAAGACUGGGGGACUACACAGCCACAUUAGGGUUUAGAUGAAGGUUUUCAUAGACAGUAAGACUUGGGGACUACACAGCCACAUGAGGGUUUUGGUGAAGGCUUUCAUAGACAGUAAGACUGGGGGACUACACAGCCACAUGAGGGUUUGGGUGAAGGCUUUCACAGACAGUAAGACUGGGGGACUACACAGCCACAAGAGGGUUUAGAUGAAGGUUUUCAUAGACAGUAAGACUUGGGGACUACACAGCCACAUGACAGUUUGGGUGAAAGCUUUCAUAGACAGUAAGACUGGGGACUACACAGCCACAUGAGGGUUUGGGUGAAGGCUUUCAUAGACAGUAAGACUGGGGACUACACAGCCACAUGACAGUUUGGUUGAAGGUUUUCAUAGACAGUAAGACUGGGGGACUACACAGCCACAUGAGGGUUUAGGUGAAGGCUUUCACAGACAGUAACACUGGGGACUACACAGCCACAUGACAGUUUGGGUGAAGGUUUUCAUAGAUAGUAAGACUUGGGGACUACACAGCCACAUGACAGUUUGGGUGAAGGUUUUCAUAGACAGUAAGACUGGGGACCACACAGCCACAUGACUGUUUGGGUGAAGGUUUUCAUAGACAGUAAGACUGAGGACUACACAGCCAUAUGACAGUUUGGGUGAAGGUAGAAAGUAAGACUUUGGCAUUACACAGCCACACACUGUGUCUACUCACACACACCAAGGCCCAAAGUGAGAGUUCAGGUUCAGGCUUUCAUAGACAGAAAGGUGGGGGACCCCAUGGCCACACACUAUGCUUACUGACAUAACAUCAAGGCCUCCAGCGAGGGUUUCCAAUGAAGGCUGUGUUUGACAGUAAAAUCAGCAGACUGCACAGUCACAUGCAUGGCCACACUUUGCUAACACCUGUGCCCAUGCACGGUGUUGGUGAAGGUCGUAGUCGACAGUAACUUAAACUAGCAGACUGCACAGCUACAAAUUAAUUUCUUGUAUGUAUCCUGUGUGAAAAAUGUUCUUUUGGCAAGUUUUUUCCCAGUAUGAAUUGUGACCUAAUGAAAAGUGUCAUCUUAUGGACUUGGACCGAAUCAGUAAAACUGGGCAGACAAUUUAUUAUGACAGAAGCCCCCAAAACCACUAUCUAUAUGUAAUGGGAGGAAGUCAUACAAUUUUCAGGUUGUGACUCCUGAUUCUUCUGGUAACUACCAGUGUUUUUCUCAUGAUCUGUGCUUGAUCAUGUAUUAACAUUUUUAUGUUGAUAACCAGUGCAGUUAGUUGAUAUUAUUUGAAAUUUUAAAUGCAAAUAACGAUAUGAUGUAAAAACCAGGGUAGAUGAAAUAGCCUCUUUUGGGAUAGUGAGCCCAAACACUACUUUGUGAUGUACGUACACUUUGUAUUGUACGUGACACAAUACCAGCAAUGGUUAGAAAACCCUACCUUAUACACAGCUUCAGGUUUACUAAUAUUUUGUUCUUGUGGUUGUUAUAGUCAGUAUUCAAUUUACUGAAAUAUUUUCAAUGUAUAUUCCAUGCUUACAAUUUAACACAUUCCUUCAAUGUGUCUAAACUUAACGUGUUGUAAUUUGUUGUCGUACGUUUGUGAGAUGUUGUCAUUUUUGUAACUUUGUAUCGGCGUGAGAUACUUUUAAAUGUUUCUGUACAGUUAGGUGAUCUUGUAUACAUUUUAGUGGUGAAUUCUCUGUUGUUAUGUAUCACAUUAUUAUACAUCAUAUAUUGUACAUGUAACAUCUGUUCUGAAGACUAAAAUGUUGAUUAUACGAUUCAAAAAAAAAGGAAAAAGCAAGAAUCAUUGGAAAUGUUUCUUCAUUUAUUGGAGUUAAAACUGUCAAGACUUUGCACAGAGAGACACUGAAUUAUCCCAAAUUACAAGAUUACUGGAGAGGUACGGAGGCCAUCAAGUCCUUGAGGAGCUAGGUCCUCUGAAAAAACCCCACAUGAAUUCAUGACUAAAGAGGUUCCUCUUUUCACAGUAACAAUAAAUAACUGUUAAGUGCGGAUCCUCUACAGUAUAUAAACAGCCGCAGUGUUAUAACGAACGACAAUGGUACACUGGUUGUUUAGCUUCUCCCUGAAGUAGUCAUGAAGCGGGCCAGAGCACAUUUUCCCUUUUACCAGUUGUUUCCGAUGAUAAUGCUGUAAUUUUCAUUCCUUCAGUCGUGUGAUAGUGCUUCACCCUGACCGACACCCGUGAUAAAUUAGUUAGAUGGAAAGUUCUGUUUUGAUAUCGAUUAAUGAAUGCUGUUGUUUUGUUCACCACAUUGUGUAGUUAUUUUUGUGUGGGAUUUUUUUUAUGGACAGUUAUUAAGUAUGUCAAUAUGUGUUAUUGUGUAUUUAUCUGUUGAAUUUAAUAGUUUUUUUCAUAUCAAGAGUUUUGAUAAGUGAAUUGACACUCAGCCUUAUGUAAUAUGUCUAUUAGGGUGAUCGAGUGGCACAGUGGAUAGUGCGCUUGCCUUUCAACAAGGCGGCCAGGGUUUGAUUCCCCAAUCGGACGUGGAA
rnacentral:misc_RNA from 1 species